GAUGAACGCUGGCGGCGUGCCUAAUACAUGCAAGUCGAGCGAACAGAUGAGGAGCUUGCUCCUCUGACGUUAGCGGCGGACGGGUGAGUAACACGUGGAUAACCUACCUAUAAGACUGGGAUAACUUCGGGAAACCGGAGCUAAUACCGGAUAAUAUAUUGAACCGCAUGGUUCAAUAGUGAAAGACGGUUUUGCGGUCACUUAUAGAGGGAUCCGCGCCGCAUUAGCUAGUUGGUAAGGUAACGGCUUACCACGGCAACGAUGCGUAGCCGACCUGAGAGGGUGGUCGGCCACACUGGAACUUGGACACGGUCCAGACUCCUACGGGACGCAGCAGUAGGCAAUCUUCCGCAAUAGGCGAAAGCUUGACGCAGCAACGCCGCGUGAGUGAUGACGGUCUUCGGAUCGUAAUACUCUGUUAUUAGGGAAGAACAAAUGUGUAAGUAACUAUGCACGUCUUGACGGUACUUAAUCAGAAAGCCCCGGCUAACUACGUG
rnacentral:rRNA from 1 species